UGGGGAAUAUUGCACAAUGGAGGGAACUCUGAUGCAGCGACGCCGCGUGAGCGAUGAAGGAAUUCGUUUCGUAAAACUCUGUUCUAUGGGAAGAAAAGGACUGUACCAUAGGAGAAAGCUCCGGCUAAAUACGUGCCAGCAGCCGCGGUAAUACGUAUGGAGCGAGCGUUGUCCGGAAUUAUUGGGCGUAAAGGGUGCGCAGGCGGCUUUACAAGUUGGAUGUGAAAUAUUGUGGCUCAACCACAAACGUGCAUCCAAAACUGCAAAGCUUGAGUUAAGGAGAGGUAAGUGGAAUUCCUGGUGUAGCGGUGGAAUGCGUAGAUAUCAGGAGGAAUACCGGUGGCGAAGGCGACUUACUGGACUUAAACUGACGCUCAGGCACGAAAGCGUGGGGAGCAAACAGG
rnacentral:rRNA from 1 species